rnacentral:rRNA from 1 species
CCCUUAGAUGUUCUGGGCCGCACGCGCGCUACACUGACGAAGGCAACGAGCUUUCCUUUACCGAAAGGUACGGGUAAUCUUUUGAAACUUCGUCGUGCUGGGGAUAGAUCCUUGCAAUUUUUGAUCUUAAACGAGGAAUGCCUAGUAAGCGCAAGUCAUCAACUUGCGUUGAUUACGUCCCUGCCCUUUGUACACACCGCCCGUCGCUACUACCGAUUGAAUGGUCUAGUGGGGCCUUCGGAUCCGCGACUCGUUUGUGGAGAAGUUGGACAAACUCAGUCAUUUAGAGGAAGUAAAAGUCGUAACA